rnacentral:rRNA from 1 species
UGGUCCCUACGGGGGGCAGCAGUGAGGAAUAUUGGUCAAUGGUCGGGAGACUGAACCAGCCACGCCGCGUGAGGGAUGAAGGUACAGAGUAUCGUAAACCUCUUUUGUCAGGGAACAAAGGCGGGGACGUUUCCCCGGAUGAGUGUACCUGAAGAAAAAGCAUCGGCUAACUCCGUGCCAGCAGCCGCGGUAAUACGGAGGAUGCGAGCGUUAUCCGGAUUUAUUGGGUUUAAAGGGUGCGCAGGCGGUCUGUUAAGUCAGCGGUCAAAGCCCGGGGCUCACCCCCGGCCCGCCGUUGAAACUGG